GCUAAACAAAUGCAAGCUAAUAAUAGUGGAGUACCUGAAAUUGGACAACUCAAACGUUUUAAAAAAGCUGAAUUGACUUAUUAAGAGUUGGAGAAAGUGAUUGAUAAAAUACUUUUGGAGAAUCUCGAACCAGUUAAAAAAUUUAUUCGUGGAGACUAGGGUAAAAGAGAAAUGUCACAUUGUCAUCUAGCUGGCAUGGCAAUGUAUAUGUGCAAGAAACGAGCUAAUACACAAAUGUUAGACAAACUACUAUGGGCCAAAUUAAAUAAGGAAAGUACAUUUCAUUCGCAAUUGUUAUAUGCUGAGAUCAUUCAUAUUAAUUACAAAAAUCUACCUUGUAUGUAUUUAGGUGGGCAACAAGGAACAUGUACGAGAACCACAAGUGUUAAAUACAAGCAAGGGUGAAGUAGUUUCCAAGACAAGUUUUACGUAGCUUUUGUUUUUGUUUACAACUUUGUAGUGUGUUUUGGACUACCGAAUAUUUUGAUGUUGUCUUACUGGUGCAUUGAGUUUGUGAAUUUCCAUAGCUUUUUUGGGUGUUGGUUAGGGUUGUCUUCGGACCUUUUGCCUUUAGCUGUCACAUAGGUAUAGUCUUUUCGAUGUAUAGCCAUAUGUGGCUCUAUUCACAUGAGACUACCGGAUAUCUUGGUUGAUACCUUGAUUUGUAAAUUGCUUUGGUUGUGAUUAAUAGAAACUAUUUGAUGCAAUGAGUCGAUACAAUUGGUGUUGCUAUGAGUUUAAUUGGUGUUGCUAUGUCAGUCUGAUGAUGCUGUUGCUGCUAUGAGUUGAUACAAUUGGUGUUGCUUUAUUUAGUGAUGCUUGCUGCUUGCUGCUGUGAUCACAAUUGGUCUGCUUGCUGCUGUGAUCACAAUUGGUCUGCUUGCUGCUGUGAUCACAAUUGGUCUGCUUGCUGCUGUCAGUUAGUGAUGCUUGCUGCUUGCUGCUGUGAUUAAUAGAAACAGCCUACAUGUCAGUUAGAUGUUGCUGCUUGGUACUGAGAUUAAUAGAAACGAUGUCAGCAUCACAAUUGGCUGUGAUUAAUAGGAACAUUUACAAGAACCAGCUGAUCUGUGCGGUAGUUUUUGCAAGAAACAUGCUAUUAAUAUGUGCUGAAUGAGUUGCACCGUGUGUAGAAUGAAGCCACUGUUUUGUGAUGCUGAUGCUUGAUGCUUCUGCUGUGAUGCUGCUGCUUGAUCAAGAGCAGCCUACUGUUUUGUGCUGCGUGAUGCUGCUUGCACUGUGAUCUGCCAACCUGAUGCUGCUUGUCAUCUGCCAGCCUGGCGUGGAGUCUAAGUGUCCUAAACUCAAUAUCAUAAUUGAGUAAACAACAAUGUUAUUGUUUUACAGGAGGUUGCUUGGAAAAGAUUUAUCAGGCUUGAGCAUGAAAGAACUGCAGCAGCUCGAGAACGAACUGAACGUCAGUCUAUUGUCAGUAAAAGCUAAGGACCAACUACUGAUGGAGCAACUGGAGCACUCAUGCACACAGGUUCGGUCUGAGACAAAUACGACUUUUGGUUAUGAUGGACUUUCCAACAGUGAGUUUGAUAAAUCAGAUUCUGAUAUUACCUUGCACCUGGGGCCACCUUGUGACCAUAAUCUGAAUAGAAAAGUGACGGUGACUGAGAGCGAGUCUAGAAGUCUAGCAGCUUCUCUUUAAUUAAUCAUCCUUGUUGACCUCGCAUUGUUAGCUGUUCUGCUCAAAUUAGCAUAAGAUCAUGUACCAGGUUUUGGUUAUAGCAUAUCCAGCAGGAUCAUGAAUGGUACCUAGUUGACUACCUGACAUGUAUACUGAAUAAGUUGUAUAUAUCUAGUUAAUUACCCGCGGUAUCAAAUAGCUAUCUGUAAUUCCUUAAACAAAGAGUAAUAUCAUAUUUUUAUGUUGUUCGGAUUCUUCACUUUA